GAUGAACGCUAGCGGCAGGCCUAAUACAUGCAAGUCGAACGGUGUCUUCGGACAUAGUGGCGCACGGGUGCGUAACACGUAUGCAACCUACCUUACAUUGGGGGAUAGCCUUUCGAAAGGGAGAUUAAUACCGCAUAAGACAGUAGCUGGGCAUCCAGUAGCUGUUAAAGAUUUAUCGAUGUAAGCUGGGCAUGCGUCCAAUUGGCUAGUUGGUGAGGUAACGGCUCACCAAGGCAAUGAUUGGUAGGGGAACUGAGAGGUCAAUCCCCCACACUGGAACUGAGAUACGGGCCAGACUCCUACGGGAGGCAGCAGUAGGGAAUAUUGGGCAAUGGACGCAAGUCUGACCCAGCCAUGCCGCGUGCAGGAUGAAGGCGUUAUGCGUUGUAAACUGCUUUUAUACAGGAAGAAACGACUCUUGCGAGAGGCAUUGACGGUACUGUAUGAAUAAGCACCGGCUAACUCCGUGCCAGCCGCCGCCGUAAAAC
rnacentral:rRNA from 1 species